GACCUAAGAGGAGGUUUAUGGAUGUGGUGAGAGAGGACAUGCAGGUGGUUGGUGUGACAGAGGGAGACCUAAGAGGAGCUUUAUGGAUGUGGUGAGAGAGGACAUGCAGGUGGUUGCUGUGACAGAGGGAGACCUAAGAGGAGCUUUAUGGAUGUGGUGAGAGAGGACAUGCAGGUGGUUGGUGUGACAGAGGGAGACCUAAGAGGAGCUUUAUGGAUGUGGUGAGAGAGGACAUGCAGGUGGUUGGUGUGACAGAGGGAGACCUAAGAGGAGCUUUAUGGAUGUGGUGAGAGAGGACAUGCAGGUGGUUGGUGUGACAGAGGGAGACCUAAGAGGAGCUUUAUGGAUGUGGUGAGAGAGGACAUGCAGGUGGUUGGUGUGACAGAGGGAGACCUAAGAGGAG